UGUAGUCUGCAACUCGACUACAUGAAGCUGGAAUCGCUAGUAAUCGCGAAUCAGNAUGUCGCGGUGAAUACGUUCCCGGGUCUUGUACACACCGCCCGUCACGCCAUGGGAGUUGGUAACGCCCGAAGCCAGUGACCCAACCGGAAACGGAGGGAGCUGUCGAAGGUGGGACCGAUAACUGGGGUGAAGUCGUAACAAGGUAGC
rnacentral:rRNA from 1 species